AUCCUUACCUGGCAAGGGAUAAGCCAUGAUCACAAAGGUGGUUUUCUCAGGGCAAGGCAUAUUCCUUGCACACUGGAUGUGCGAGACCCUGAGAUUUCCCCAAAUGUGGGAGACUCAACUGUAUAACUUGUGGUAGCGGGGAGGGACUGUGUUCAUGCUGCCCCCUA